rnacentral:rRNA from 1 species
UUUCCUCCCGAGUGCUUGCACUCAAUUGGAAAGAGGAGUGGCGGACGGGUGAGUAACACGUGGGUAACCUACCCAUCAGAGGGGGAUAACACUUGGAAACAGGUGCUAAUACCGCAUAACAGUUUAUGUCGCAUGGCAUAAGAGUGAAAGGCGCUUUCGGGUGUCGCUGAUGGAUGGACCCGCGGUGCAUUAGCUAGUUGGUGAGGUAACGGCUCACCAAGGCCACGAUGCAUAGCCGACCUGAGAGGGUGAUCGGCCACACUGGGACUGAGACACGGCCCAGACUCCUACGGGAGGCAGCAGUAGGGAAUCUUCGGCAAUGGACGAAAGUCUGACCGAGCAACGCCGCGUGAGUGAAGAAGGUUUUCGGAUCGUAAAACUCUGUUGUUAGAGAAGAACAAGGACGUUAGUAACUGAACGUCCCCUGACGGUAUCUAACCAGAAAGCCACGGCUAACUACGUGCCAGCAGCCGCGGUAAUACGUAGGUGGCAAGCGUUGUCCGGAUUUAUUGGGCGUAAAGCGAGCGCAGGCGGUUUCUUAAGUCUGAUGUGAAAGCCCCCGGCUCAACCGGGGAGGGUCAUUGGAAACUGGGAGACUUGAGUGCAGAAGAGGAGAGUGGAAUUCCAUGUGUAGCGGUGAAAUGCGUAGAUAUAUGGAGGAACACCAGUGGCGAAGGCGGCUCUCUGGU